AAAGAUUAAGCCAUGCAUGUCUAUGCACAAGCCGAAUAUGGUGAAGCCGCGAAUGGCUCACUACAACAGCCACUGUUUACUUGAUCUUGAUUAUCCUACUUGGAUAACUGUGGUAAUUCUAGAGCUAAUACACGCAAUAAAGCUCCGACCUUACGGGACGAGCGCAUUUAUUAGACCAAAACCAAUCGGGCUUCGGCCUGAACGGUGGUGACUCUGAAUAACUGAGCUGAUCGCAUGGUCUUUGUACCGGCGACGCAUCUUUCAAGUGUCUGCCUUAUCAACUUUCGAUGGUAGUUUAUGUGCCUACCAUGGUUGUUACGGGUAACGGAGAAUAAGGGUUCGACUCCGGAGAGGGAGCCUGAGAAACGGCUACCACAUCCAAGGAAGGCAGCAGGCGCGCAAAUUACCCACUCUCGGCACGAGGAGGUAGUGACGAAAAAUAACGAGGCGGUUCUCUAAGAGGCCCGCUAUCGGAAUGGGUACAAUUUAAACCCUUUAACGAGGACCUAUGAGAGGGCAAGUCUGGUGCCAGCAGCCGCGGUAAUUCCAGCUCUCAAGGUGUAUAUCGCCAUUGCUGCGGUUAAAAAGCUCGUAGUUGGAUCUGCGCCUUCGGACUCGGUCCGCCCAACGGGUGUGAACUGAGAUCCAAGGCUUAUACUGCUGGUUUUCCCUUGAUGCUCUUUACUGGGUGUCUUGGGUGGCUAGCGAGUUUACUUUGAAAAAAUUAGAGUGCUUAACACAGGCUAUCGCCUGAAUACUUGUGCAUGGAAUAAUAGAAUAAGACCACGGCUCUAUUUUAUUGGUUUUCGGAACUGUGAUAAUGGUUAAGAGGGACAGACGGGGGCAUUCGUAUCGCUGCGUGAGAGGUGAAAUUCUUGGACCGCAGCGAGACGCCCUACUGCGAAAGCAUUUGCCAAGAAUG
rnacentral:rRNA from 1 species